rnacentral:rRNA from 1 species
UACGAGUGCCUCAAGCGUUAUCCGGAAUUAUUGGGCGUAAAGGGUCUGUAGGUGGUUUUGUUAGUCUUUUGUUAAAACUCUUGGCUUAACCAAGAGGCUGCAAAGGAAACGGCAAGACUUAGAGUAUGCGAGGGGUCUGCGGAACUCAUGGUGUAGCAGUGAAAUGCGUUGAUAUCAUGGGGAACACCAAAAGCGAAGGCAGCAGACUGGAGCAUUACUGACACUGAAAUACGAAAGCGUGGGUCGCGAAUGGG